GACAUUGUUCAACGGCCGCGGUAUCCUAACCGUGCGAAGGUAGCGUAAUCACUUGUUCUUUAAAUAAGGACUAGUAUGAAAGGCACCACGAGAGUCAUACUGUCUCCUUUCUCUAAUCAGUGAAACUAAUCUCCCCGUGAAGAAGCGGGGAUAAAAAUAUAAGACGAGAAGACCCUAUGGAGCUUUAAACAAGUAACACUUGCCUACCAAAUUUCCAAUUUCAGAAAAAUUUUCUACCCCGGCAUCAUGAUUAUUAGUUUUCGGUUGGGGUGACCACGGAAUAAAAACCAACCUCCGCAAUGAAAGACACUCAUCUACUUAGUUAAGGGCCACAACCCCACACAUCAACAAAUUGACACUAAUUGACCCAACAUGUUGAUCAAUGAACCAAGUUACCCUAGGGAUAACAGCGCAAUCCACUUCAAGAGCUCCUAUCGACAAGUGGGUUUACGACCUCGAUGUUGGAUCAGGGUGUCCUAGUGGUGCAGCCGCUACUAAAGGUUCGUUUGUUCAACGAUUAAAACCCUACGUGAUCUGAGUUCAGAC
rnacentral:rRNA from 1 species